rnacentral:rRNA from 1 species
CUGACGCUGAGGGACGAAAGCGUGGGUAGCGAACAGGAUUAGAUACCCUGGUAGUCCACGCCGUAAACGAUGGAUACUAGCUGUUCGACCAACAUUGGUUGGUUGAGUGGCUAAGCGAAAGUGAUAAGUAUCCCACCUGGGGAGUACGGUCGCAAGACUGAAACUCAAAGGAAUUGACGGGGGCCCGCACAAGCGGUGGAGCAUGUGGUUUAAUUCGAUGAUACGCGAGGAACCUUACCAGGGCUUAAAUGUAAGUUGCAUGAUUUAGAGAUAGAUCUUUCUUCGGACUACUUACAAGGUGCUGCAUGGUUGUCGUCAGCUCGUGCCGUGAGGUGUCAGGUUAAGUCCUAUAACGAGCGCAACCCCUGUCGUUAGUUGCCAGCAAGUUAAGUUGGGCACUCUAGCGAGACUGCCAGUGCAAACUGUGAGGAAGGUGGGGAUGACGUCAAAUCAUCACGGCCCUUACGUCCUGGGCUACACACGUGCUACAAUGGUCGGUACAGAGAGCAGCCACUACGCGAGUAGGAGCGAAUCUAUAAAACCGAUCUCAGUUCGGAUCGCAGUCUGCAACUCGACUGCGUGAAGCUGGAAUCGCUAGUAAUCGGAUAUCAGCCAUGAUCCGGUGAAUACGUUCCCGGGCCUUGUACACACCGCCCGUCAAGCCAUGGAAGCUGGGAGUACCUGAAGUCGGUUACCGCAAGGAGCUGCCUAGGGUAAAACUGGUAACUGGGGCUAAGUCGUAACAAGGUAGCCGUACCGGAAGGUGCGGCUGGAACACCUCCUUU